AGCAUAUCAAUAAGCGGAGGAAAAGAAACUAACAAGGAUUCCCCUAGUAACUGCGAGUGAAGCGGGAAAAGCUCAAAUUUGAAAUCUGGUAGUCUUAGGCUGCCCGAGUUGUAAACUAGAGAAGCGUUAUCCGCGCUGGACCGNGUAUAAGUCUUCUGGAAUGAAGCGUCAUAGAGGGUGAGAAUCCCGUCUUUAACACGGACUACCAGGGCUUUGUGAUGCGCUCUCGAAGAGUCGAGUUGUUUGGGAAUGCAGCUCUAAAUGGGUGGUAAAUUCCAUCUAAAGCUAAAUAUUGGCGAGAGACCGAUAGCGAACAAGUACCGUGAGGGAAAGAUGAAAAGAACUUUGGAAAGAGAGUUAAAUAGUACGUGAAAUUGUUGAAAGGGAAACGCUUGAAGUCAGUCGCGUUAGUUAGGAAUCAGCCUUGCUUCUGCUUGGUGUACUUCCUGGCUGACGGGUCAGCAUCAAUUUUGACCGGUGGAAAAAGGCCAGUUGAAUGUGGCAUCUACGGAUGUGUUAUAGCUUCUGGUCGUAUACAUCGGUUGGGAUUGAGGAACUCAGCACGCCGCAAGGUCGGGGUUCGCCCACGUUCGUGCUUAGGAUGC
rnacentral:rRNA from 1 species